GCCCUCACAAAGGCACUGACU
rnacentral:miRNA from 8 species